rnacentral:lncRNA from 1 species
UGGCUGCGCACCGGUUGGGAAGGACCUUGGCCAACUUUCGUGUGAAUCACCAUUGGAGGACUUUUAACUUGAAAUCUUAUGGAGAACACCAAUAUGCCACUUUUUUAUUUUGAUUAACAUAUAAUAUUCUAUCUCUUUGCAUGCUUGAAUUUGCUUUGAUCAUGUUCGGCAAGGUGAUUCUAGGAUUUUGGGUUCGGCUCGAUAGUUUUAUUUGAUAAAGCUAUUGAUUUGAGUAUUUUAAAAAAUUUAAAAAAUUAUUUUUCACUGCAUAGCUAGAACCCAACAUUCCCUAAGGUCUCUAGGCAAUUCAACCAGUAGCCCCACACCUCCCUUGAAGAGCCCAUGCCCCCUUUUUCUCUUCUUCCUCUCUUCUCCCUUGGAGAUCAAAUGCCCAAGCUUGGGCAUCCUCCAUCUUCAAUGCCCAAAGGUCUUUGUGCGUCCCCUAUUACUUACUGAUUUUUAGUCUCUGGUUGCUUUAUAAUCUAGGAAAGACAAGCGAGAGAAGAGAAGAAGAAGAUCAAGAAAAUGAUUAAAGAG